CUACGGGCUGCACCAGUGAGGAAUAUUGCACAAUGGGGGGAACCCUGAUGCAGCAACGCCGCGUGGAGGAUGACGCAUUUCGGUGUGUAAACUCCUUUUAUAUGUCAAGAAAAUGACGGUAGCAUAUGAAUAAGCACCGGCUAACUCCGUGCCAGCAGCCGCGGUAAUACGGAGGGUGCAAGCGUUACUCGGAAUCACUGGGCGUAAAGGACGCGUAGGCGGGUUGGAAAGUCAGGUGUGAAAUCCUACAGCUUAACUGUAGAACUGCACUUGAAACUUCUAAUCUAGAGUAUGGGAGGGUGAGAUGGAAUUAGUGGUGUAGGGGUAAAAUCCGUAGAUAUCACUAGGAAUACCUAAAGCGAAGGCGAUCUCCUGGAACAUUACUGACGCUAAGGCGUGAAAGCGUGGGGAGCAAACAGGAUUAGAUACCCCUGUAGUC
rnacentral:rRNA from 1 species